CCUACGGGAGACAGCAGUGAGGAAUAUUGGUCAAUGGACGAGAGUCUGAACCAGCCAAGUAGCGUGAAGGAUGACUGCCCUAUGGGUUGUAAACUUCUUUUAUAUGGGAAUAAAACGUUCCACGUGUGGGAUUUUGUAUGUACCAGAUGAAUAAGGAUCGGCUAACUCCGUGCCAGCAGCCGCGGUAAUACGGAGGAUCCGAGCGUUAUCCGGAUUUAUUGGGUUUAAAGGGUGCGUAGGUGGAUUGUUAAGUCAGUUGUGAAAGUUUGCGGCUCAACCGUAAAAUUGCAGUUGAAACUGGCAGUCUUGAGUACAGUAGAGGUGGGCGGAAUUCGUGGUGUAGCGGUGAAAUGCUUAGAUAUCACGAAGAACUCCGAUUGCGAAGGCAGUUCACUGGACUGCAACUGACACUGAGGCUCGAAAGUGUGGGUAUCAAACAGGAUUAGAUACCCUAGUAGUC
rnacentral:rRNA from 1 species